GUCAAGUCUAAACAUGCCACAUGGCAACCCAUAAAAAAAAGAAGGGCUUAAUAUCGACAGAAUUUCUUCGAGGAUAUCCCUAUUCCGUCGAGGUUAUUCUUUUAUUUAAAUAUUUAUAUUAUUUUGGCAAUAUCCAGGGUAAUAAUACCCACAUUUUUUGUACCUGUAAACAUGUUUUUUCCCAACAGCACAUAAAACAUAAAUAUAAUCCAAGGCCAACAAUAAUGACCAACAUGAAUAUGAAUUACUAAG
rnacentral:lncRNA from 1 species